rnacentral:lncRNA from 1 species
CAAGGUGAGAAACUUGGUCGAGCGAAACCUCUAUCCGUCAACUCUUGCAAUUGAGCUUUCAAUUCUUUUAACUCGGUCAGUGCCAUACGAUACGGAGCUAUCGAAAUUGGCGUAGUUCCCGGUACAAGCUCAAUACCAAACUCUAUCUCCCGAAUAGGUGGCAAACCCGGUAACUCUUCAGGAAAAACAUCCGGGUAUUCACAAACCACCGGCACAGAUUCGGGUUUCUUUUCUAACUCUUUGUCAUCAAGUACAUACGCAAGG